UACGUAGGGGCGAGCGUUAUCCGGAAUUAUUGGGCGUAAAGGGUUCGCAGGUGGUCUGUUAAGUCAGAUGUGAAAGGCAGUGGCUCAACCAUUGCAAGCAUUUGAAACUGGCAGACUUGAGUACAGGAGAGGAAAGCGGAAUUCCUAGUGUAGCGGUGAAAUGCGUAGAUAUUAGGAGGAACACCAGUGGCGAAGGCGGCUUUCUGGACUGAAACUGACACUGAGGAACGAAAGCGUGGGGAGCAAACAGGAUUAGAUCCCUGGUA
rnacentral:rRNA from 1 species